rnacentral:rRNA from 1 species
UACGAAGGGGGCUAGCGUUGCUCGGAAUCACUGGGCUUAAAGCGUGUGUAGGCGGACUUCUAAGUACCUUGUGAAAUCCCACGGCUCACCCGUGGAACUGCUUGGUAUACUGGUUGUCUUGAGCCACUUAGGGGCUACCGGAACAAAUGGUGGAGCGGUGAAAUGCGUAGAUAUCAUGUGGAACGCCAAUGGUGAAAACAGGUAGCUGGGAGUGUGCUGACGCUGAGACACGAAAGCCAGGGGAGCGAACGGG